ensembl:lncRNA
AAAGAACCUAAAGUCACAAUUUAUUGCAACUCGGAGCCUUUUAAAAACAACGACUGCUUUAGCAGAGCUGGGGGGAAGAGAGGUUGUGCGUGCAGUCAAAGCCGUAAACGCAACCUUAGCCUGAAAAAAGAAAUAAAUGGACUAAAGCACCAGGGCUGGCUCUGACAGGAAGUGGGGACUCGGGACUUCAAAUACAAACAUUAUGAAAAACAAGCAACAUCUGCAAACAAUGACUCCAGUCUACAUUGUAAGAUAAGGCUAAAGCUAAGAAAUUCUUUUAAAGGAAACAACGCUUGUGGGCAUUUUAGGUCGAUGGUUCUGCAGCAAUUCUGUGCCACCUGACAAAUGCUACCUGCUUGCAGCAAACACGGCCUUAAUAGUGCUAAGCUGCCACUAACCUGUUUGUCAUGUGGUUCUUGGACAUGGAACAACCAGUACAACAUCUGAACUACAACGGGCAGCCGAGAUAGAAGGCCUGAGUAAGAGGAUGUCUGAUUUAAUAGUGUAGAUAGCAAAUAGCCACA